GAUGAACGCUGGCGGCGUACCUAACACAUGCAAGUCGAGCGUGAUUUUUGAGGACGAAACUUCGGUCUAGGAAUCAUAAUGAAAGCGGCGGACGGGUGAGUACGCGUAGGCAACCUGCCCUUGACACAGGGAUAGCCUCGGGAAACCGGGAUUAAAACCUGAUGACGCCAAACAGUCACAUGGCUGUUUGGCCAAAGAUUUAUCGGUCAAGGAUGGGCCUGCGUCUGAUUAGUUAGUUGGUGGGGUAACGGCCUACCAAGACGACGAUCAGUAGCCGACCUGAGAGGGUGAUCGGCCACAUUGGAACUGAGACACGGUCCAAACUCCUACGGGAGGCAGCAGUGGGGAAUAUUGCACAAUGGGCGAAAGCCUGAUGCAGCAACGCCGCGUGAGCGAUGAAGGCCUUUGGGUCGUAAAGCUCUGUCCUUGGGGAAGAAACAAAUGACGGUACCCAAGGAGGAAGCCCCGGCUAACUACGUGCCAGCAGCCGCGGUAA
rnacentral:rRNA from 1 species